UCCGGCGCUCCGGGAGGGGCUCACGUAGUAUUAGCUAGUUGGUGGGGUAACGGCCCACCAAGGCCAAGAUGCUUAGCAGGUGUGAGAGCACGACCUGCGCCACUGGCACUGGGACACUGGCCAGACUCCUACGGGAGGCUGCAGUCGAGGAUCUUCGGCAAUGGGCGCAAGCCUGACCGAGCGACGCCGCGUGGGCGAUGAAGGCCUUCGGGUUGUAAAGCCCCGUCGGGAGGGAGAAAGGCUCGCAAGAGCUUGAUCGACCUCCGGAGGAAGCACGGGCUAACUUCGUGCCAGCAGCCGCGGUAAGACGAACCGUGCGAACGUUGUUCGGAAUCACUGGGCUUAAAGGGCGCGUAGGCGGGUCUCUAAGUCUGGGGUGAAAGCCCGCGGCUCAACCGCGGAAGCGCCUCGGAGACUGGGGGCCUCGAGGGGGGUAGGGGCGUGCGGAACUUCCGGUGGAGCGGUGAAAUGCGUAGAUAUCGGAAGGAACACCGGUGGCGAAAGUGGCGCGCUGGACCCCUUCUGACGCUGAGGCGCGAAAGCCAGGGGAGCAAACGGGAUUAGAUACCCCGGUAGUCCUGGCCCUAAACGUUGGGUACUAGAUUGUGGGCUUACAUGGGCUCCCAGUCGAAGCCAAAGUGUUAAGUACCCCGCCUGGGGAGUAUGGUCGCAAGGCUGAAACUCAAAGGAAUUGACGGGGGCUCACACAAGCGGUGGAGCAUGUGGCUUAAUUCGAGGCUACGCGAAGAACCUUAUCCUGGACUUGACAUACGCGAAAGCGCUAGGAAGUAGGGGGCGGAAACGC
rnacentral:rRNA from 1 species